rnacentral:rRNA from 1 species
UGAGCAAUCUGCCCUUCUCUUUGGAAUAAGCGUUGGAAACGACGUCUAAUGCCGAAUACGACCUCCUUUCGCAUGAUCGGAGGUGGAAAGCUCCGGCGGAGAAGGAUGAGCUCGCGGCCUAUCAGCUUGUUGGUGGGGUCAUGGCUCACCAAGGCGACGACGGGUAGCUGGUCUGAGAGGACGACCAGCCACACUGGAACUGAGAUACGGUCCAGACUNUACGGGAGG